rnacentral:rRNA from 1 species
GACGAACGCUGGCGGCGUGCUUAACACAUGCAAGUCGAACGGAAAGGCCCUGCUAUUGUGGGGUGCCCGAGUGGCGAACGGGUGAGUAACACGUAAGUAACCUGCCCUUGACUUUGGGAUAACGUUAGGAAACUGGGGCAAAGACCGAAUAGGAGCACACGCUGCAUGGGGGGGGCUGGAAAGUUUCGGCGGUUGGGGAUGGGCUCGCGGCUUAUGAGCCUGUUGGUGGGGUAGUGGCUUACCAAGGCUUUGACGGGUAGCCGGCCUGAGAGGGUGACCGGCCACAUUGGGACUGAGAUACGGCCCGGACUCCUACGGGAGGCAGGAGUAGGGACUAUUGCCCAAUGGGCGGAAGCCUGAUGCAGCAUCGCCGCGUGCGGGAUGACGGCCUUCGUGUUGUCGACCGCUUUCGCCUGUGACGAAGCGUGAGUGACGGUAAUGGAUAAAGAAGCACCGGCUAACUACGUG